UACAGAGGGGGCAAGCGUUAUUCGGAAUUAUUGGGCGUAAAGGGCGCGUAGGUGGCCGGGUAAGUCAAAGGUGAAAUCCCUCGGCUCAACCGAGGAACUGCCUUUGAUACUGCCGGGCUUGAGGCCGGGAGAGGGUAGCGGAAUUCCCAGUGUAGCGGUGAAAUGCGUAGAUAUUGGGAGGAACACCGGUGGCGAAGGCGGCUACCUGGACCGGUUCUGACACUGAGGCGCGAAAGCGUGGGGAUCAAACAGG
rnacentral:rRNA from 1 species